rnacentral:rRNA from 1 species
AAACGACUCUCGGCAACGGAUAUCUCGGCUCUCGCAUCGAUGAAGAACGUAGCGAAAUGCGAUACUUGGUGUGAAUUGCAGAAUCCCGUGAACCAUCGAGUCUUUGAACGCAAGUUGCGCCCGAAGCCAUCCGGCCGAGGGCACGUCUGCCUGGGCGUCACACGCCGUUGCCCCCCCAAACCCCGUCGGGGCAGGAGGGGGGCGGAUGCUGGCCUCCCGUGAGCCUCGCCUCGCGGCUGGCCCAAAUGCGAGAUCUGCGCCGCGGGCGUCGCGGCGAUGGUGGUCGUCGAAUAACUCGGUGCCCCGUCGCGAACGCCCCCGGCGCGCCGUCUCGGAACGACCCCUGCGCGCGGCCUCGCGCCGCGCCUCCAACGCGACCCCAGGUCAGGCGGGGCUACCCGCUGAAUUUAAGCAUAUCAAUAAGCGGAGGAGAAGAAACUUACAAGGAUUCCCCUAGUAACGGCGAGCGAACCGGGAAAAGCCC